ACCCGUCUCACCUCUGUCUGCCUGGGACUUGUACCGGGAAGUGAGGGGGCAGCAAAGGGGAGGAGCAGUAGGGGAGGGGCACAUGGUGGAAGUUUACACAGAAUGGAGUAUUGGGGCAGUGACGGGCGCUUAGGCAAUCCGGUGGCCACUUGGCCCCCCGCCUUUGCAGUGCGCAACCAAGUACGCGCGUGCGUAACUGCGCGCAACCGGGGACGCUCGUACUCAACCGCAAGCAGACGAGUGCGGUCGUGCACAAAGCACUUUCACUUCAGACAGAGAGAGCGCACCCACUUUUCAAUCAGAUUUCUGUCCGUUAAAGCUUGUUAAAAUUUUGAGCUUCGUGGGCGCCCCACCUAUCUGCCCAGUGAUUGGUGCAUGAAGGACCAGCGAAGAAAAAGAAAAGAGGACGCGCUACAACAUUUGCUGCGGUGUACCCAGGUACCUCCAAAAAGCUUUAAUGUGCGGAGUACAAAAAAUCAACAUUUCAGGAGCUGCCUGCCUCCUUCAUCAGUGAUAGUGUACAUUAGUGCAUGAAUUGUACAUGGAUCCUCAGGUCUUGGGAUACACUUCCUAUGCUGCAUGUCUUGCACGGGCUUUUUGGCUCAUUUUAGCCUGUCUCACCCUGACUAGGUUAAGUUCUCUGCUAUGCUCAAAUCUUGUUUCCUUUUCCACUAAUGACUUGCUCAUUCUCCUCUUCUGGUAGGGAAUUCCUUAACCUGACUAUCCUUUCAGAUAAGAAACUUCUUCUUAUGCUGGUGAAAGCAUUCUCCCUUUUCCCACCUAGAAGACAUAUGCAUAGUCUGGGCUGGCGUCAGAAAUCACUGGGCCCCAUACAACACAAUUUUCUGGGUCCCCAGCCCCCAAGCCCCUCGCCACAGUAUAAAGGCCACACAGACUGUGCUUAAAACGGUAAAACCGCACACACACAAGUUAUAAAAAGCCAUUGAUGGUCAGCAGGGCCGGAACUAGGGGUAGGCAAAGUAGGCACGUGCCUAGGGCACAAAGCUUGGGGGUGCCAGGCACAUACCUGCUCUGUCGCCUACCCCAUGUCUGGUCCAGUCUCUUCCCAACUGGCACUGGUAUUUUUUGCGUAAAUGCGCUUCUGUUUUUCGCGCACUCGGCCGGCCAAGUUGGCUAGGGCGCCUGCCCGGGCAGGCUGGCUCUGGUGGUCAGGACUCCAUUAUAAGUUAAAAAAAGAUUGAAGGCCAGGGUCCCAAAUAAAAGUUUUUAAAA